CCUACGGGAGGCAGCAGUAAGGAAUAUUGGUCAAUGGACGCAAGUCUGAACCAGCCAUGCCGCGUGAAGGAUGAAGGUCUUCGGGUUGUAAACUGCUUUUGUACGGAACGAAAAGCCUCUUUCUAAUAAAGAGGGGUCAUGACGGUACCGUAAGAAUAAGCACCGGCUAACUACGUGCCAGCAGCCGCGGUAAUACGUAGGGUGCAAGCGUUAAUCGGAAUUACUGGGCGUAAAGCGUGCGCAGGCGGUUUUGUAAGACAGAGGUGAAAUCCCCGGGCUCAACCUGGGAACUGCAUUUGUGACUGCAUGGCUAGAGUACGGUAGAGGGGGAUGGAAUUCCGCGUGUAGCAGUGAAAUGCGUAGAUAUGCGGAGGAACACCGAUGGCGAAGGCAAUCCCCUGGACCUGUACUGACGCUCAUGCACGAAAGCGUGGGGAGCAAACAGGAUUAGAUACCCUGGUAGUCCACGCCCUAAACGAUGUCAACUAGUUGUUGGGGAUUCAUUUCCUUAGUAACGUAGCUAACGCGUGAAGUUGACCGCCUGGGGAGUACGGUCGCAAGAUUAAAACUCAAAUGAAUUGACGGGG
rnacentral:rRNA from 1 species